rnacentral:rRNA from 1 species
AUUUUGCGCAAUGGGCGAAAGCCUGACGCAGCAACACCGCGUGGAGGAUGAAGGUUCUCGGAUCGUAAACUCCUGUCGGCAGGGAAUAUAAUGACUGUACCUGCAGAGGCAGCACCGGCUAACUACGUGCCAGCAGCCGCGGUAAUACGUAGGGUGCAAGCGUUGUCCGGAUUUAUUGGGCGUAAAGAGUUCGUAGGCGGUGGCUUAAGUCUGGUGUUAAAUACCGAAGCUCAACUUCGGCAUGGCAUCGGAAACUGGGUCACUAGAGUGCGGUAGAGGUAUCGGGAAUUCCAGGUGUAGCGGUGAAAUGCGUAGAUAUCUGGAGGAACACCAGUGGCGAAAGCGCGAUACUGGGCCGUAACUGACGCUGAGGAACGAAAGCCUGGGUAGCGAAAGGG